CACUCAUCCCAGACGGCAGCUAGCAGCUAGCAGCUAAGAGGGCUGGGAGAGCAGAUGAGCAGCCACAGCAGGAAGGGAAACAGAAAGAGACAAGAAGCCAGAGAAGCAGCGAGCUUUUCAGCGAUGGCGACAGCUGGGGGAAAAGAGUGACACCAUUGUGAUGGUUGCCGUCUUUCUGUUGGACAGGUAUGUUUUUGUUUUGUCUGUCAGAAAGGAUUGGUUGUAUUCAGGAAAUGUUAGAUGGAGCCCUUAAGAGUUGCUACUUUUAAAUCUUGCUAGCUUUUUCAACAUUACCAGCCCUGCCUUAAGUUGUACUUACAGGUUUGAGAGGUGGUCUGGACCUGAUGAACUCCAGGAUGACUUCAUGAGCGCUCUUCUUUAACCUGGGUGGAAUGUCUCCAUUUAUCUGAAACAACAGAACCGGAUAAAAGAAAAGUACACAACGACACAUAAAAAUGCCAAUGGCUUGAUGGAUUCCUUACUUCCCUUACCCUCGUGUAAAUCUAGCUCAUGAAUCCUGCUUGUUGCAGAAGGUUAUUUAGUAGUAUUUAGUGUGUGCAUGAUGUGGAAAAGUUGAAUAAUCUCAUACCACAUUACACACAAGAUCAUAAAGUCCAUUAAGGUGUAAAAUUACCUGUUGCUACACUACCAAAUCAAGGACCAUACACAGAGCUAUCAGCUAAUGCAAAUUAUUUAUUUUCAUUAUCAAUUAGUCAAUCCAUUAUAAUUCUUUUUGGAGUUAUUUGAUACAUUUUUUUGUCCAGUCCAAUGUCCAGCUCAUCUUCUCAGAGACCAAGGUGAUGUCUUUGAAUGUCUUGUUUUUGACCAACAGUCCAAAACCAAAAGAUGAAAAUUGACAAUGAUGGAGAAUAAAGCAGCAAAAUCUCUCCUUCUGUCAAGCUAGGCAUGGGCCGGUUACCAGUGUCAAGGUUUUAAAAAGUCACGGUUUUAACCCUAGUGUUGUCUUCCCGUCGACCAACAAGCAGCUUUUUUGUUUUUCUGGAUCAAAAUUUAAAAUUAAAACGUUUUGGUCGUCUUUUUUGACACUUCUGUUGCUUUCCCCCAAUGUUUUUGGCACUUUUUUUCUCACUUUUAUCCAAUUUCUUUGCACUUUUCCCAACGUUUUUGA